GAUGAACGCUGGCGGCGUGCUUAACACAUGCAAGUCGAGCGAAGCACUCGGAAGUUUUCGGACGGAAGGGUGACUGAGCGGCGGACGGGUGAGUAACGCGUGGGUAACCUGCCUCAUACAGGGGGAUAACAGUUAGAAAUGACUGCUAAUACCGCAUAAGCGCACAGUGCUGCAUGGCACAGUGUGAAAAAACUCCGGUGGUAUGAGAUGGACCCGCGUUGGAUUAGGCAGUUGGCGGGGUAACGGCCCACCAAACCGACGA
rnacentral:rRNA from 1 species